GCGCAGUCCUCCGCCCAGUUAACACUGGACAGACACCCGUCGGCAGUGACCAGACGCAGCAACCAGAGCAGCAGCCGACCGAACAGCCAGAUCGACACAAAACACAUGUGCGCCGCAGGGCUGAACUCCAAACAAAGGGGCGACGUAUAUGGAAGGGUCGGCUACCGUCGGCUGACUCCAGCAUUGUUCACCAUGUCGUCUACCAGCUGACCAGUCUGGGAUGGUCGCUCUCAGCACGCCGCCACCCAGCACAGUGUGGGAGACACUGGCAGUGAUGGCAGUGACCUGCGCCGCGGUACCGGUGACACCCGCUGCGCUGUCUGCGUCACCGGCCACUGGCACGCCCCAGUCGUGCCAGCCGCAGCUGGAGCUGGUCGGCCCGUCCUCGGAGGGAGGCGGUCAGGUGCUCCGAGUGCUGCCCGCCGGCGCCGGCUGCCGCUGCGCUUCGCCCAGACUCGUUAUCGACGUCUGCGACACCAUGUCCACGCCUUGCGAGAAGCUCGAAGGCGAGUUGCACUGGCCUCGCUGGCGCGCCGUGUCGGCGCUGAACCUGAGCACAUCGCGGCUGGAGGUCGUCCAGUACGCUGGGUGGUACGGCGUGCUGGGGGACAGUUCCGACUGCAUGCAGCCGGCGCCGCUGUGGGUGGAUGGCCUCCGGGUCGCUUCGUGGAACGUCACCAAGUCCGAUCAGUUCGUCGUAGGCCUCGAAGGCGAGAAGGAAAGCGACAAGGAUAAUGACGACGAGGACGACUGCGAUGAUGACGACGGUUGUACCACUGCCCUCGGCAGGGUACUGUGUUUGAGUGUUCUGGUGGUCGAUCAGUUCGACCCCUCCACAAUCCUGAAUGUGGCGUUCCCCUGGCUGCGGGUGUGUUUGAGGAAGGUCAACUGCACAGGACAAGGCUGCCGGCAGUGCCGAACCGUGCCGUUUCCUCAGCGGUCGGCGGAGCUUUUCUGCGGCAGGAACGGGUCUCUGACACCCGGCGAUCGGUACCGGAUCAGUGUGUCACCCGAUCACGACGCACUGUGCGCCUCCCACCUGCGCAGCUGCCCCACCCGCGCCUGGUUCGUCCAGCUUCCGGUGGUGGCUCCUCAGGAAGUGACUCAAGUGAAGCCGGUGGGCGUUGGGCCCGUUGCCAUCAGCUGCAUAUUCCUGGGUGUCGCCGUCGCCAUCGCCGCUGUCGCCGCCAUCGCAGUUGUGUUGAAGAGGUUCCGCGGACGGCAGACUGUCCAGCAGACCGAAGUCACCGCCCCGCUCCUGCAGGGUCAGAUCAGCGUCUCUCGACCGGUGACCGUGCUGUUGGCGGCUCCAGCGCAGGCUGCCGCCGGCCGGGCGGUGCGCCACCUCCGCCUGAAGCUGCAGACGUUCGGCGUGGACACGCUCUCGCUGCAGGACCGCGCGGUGAUGUGUCUUUUCCAGCGACAUCCGAGCCUCGCAGACGCGCUAGGACGGCCGCCACUGCAGGGCGCAAUGAUCGUCUUCGUCGGAGGAGAAGGAGAGGAAGGCGGCGUUGAUGAGGGCCUCCGUAGCGCUGUAAACGGCCAUGACAGUGGUGAGGGCGAAGAAAAGGACGCACAGGAAAGAACAUUGGAACUCGCUGAUGGCGCCACGAAUGGAGUGGUUGGCGGCGUUCAGCAGCGUCUGUUCUUCAGCCUGCUUCAGUACGUGCGCAGCAGUCUGCUGGCGUGCAACUACAGGCGCGUGUUCGCCGUGGCCGUGGGGGACACGGCGUUGGACCCGCUGCUGGCAGACGUCUCCUGGGGUCGGCUGUUCAGGGUGGACGACAGCGCAGAGCUGGUGCGGCACCUGCUCGCAGCCGCCGCCGCCCCCGCUGGCGGCCCUAACAUCACUGACCUCUGCAAGCCCGACCGGCAGAAUCCACCGGAGAAUGAGGAGCUCUUUUCUGUUGUGGAAGAGGAUGAAACACUGGUGCAUAGAUGCAGAGGAGAGGAAGACGGAAAGAUAAUAACUCAAAAGGAAAACGUUCAAAGUUGACAGUGAUGCACAUUGUUUACAAUGUGUGCACUAGUGUGUAGAAGUUUAUCAUAAGUCAGAAAUAUGUGUUAUGGCAGCUUUAGCAUGUGAGGCACCAAUUGAAUUCUUACACCCUAUGGAAAUUUUGUUAGAGGUGCGGAGGGUCUGGUUGAAGCAUCCGUGACCGUCGGAAAUUCGAAUAUUCAUUGGAUAUGUUAUGUCUGAGGCUUAUCAGUCUGCGCGGGACGAAGAAGUCUAGCUUGCUGGCCGAACGCAUGCGGAGAUGGUUACAGACCCCUAUGGUGUCCCAAAAGUAAUGACCUGACAAAAAGGUGACAGGUGACUGAAAGUGAACCACCAUCUGCGUGAUGCCUUUACGUCACGUCACAUAUGUAUGACCUCAGCGUGUGCGUGUACCGCCACACACUAAGUUACGUUGCUGGGUACUCUUGCACCCACCACCACAACUGGGUGACGUGUCGGUGGAACGGAUCGAUGGGCCCCCUGGCUACCGGCUGAUACAUGCCCCGUCGGUGUCGACUGAGGUGUGUGGUCACCGACGGCCGUGACGCCCAGUCCGCCGCUCCCGACGCAGACCGAUCGCGCCACGACGAGUGUGUGUGGGUGGAAUUACUUACCGGCAGUGGGUGAACGGUAUCCAUCGAGCAACGAGGCCAGCGUGCAGCAGCAGCAAACUCGGGGUAGCCAUUCAUUCCUGCAAUGCCCCGUGCGGCUGGGCUGUUUGCUCCAAAGCAUAUGCAGCUGAAUGGUGAAUGGCCAUCUGUCCCAUAGGUUAUAAGCAUACGCUCAAAGCUGCUGUUUAAGAUUUCGCAGUGACGUUGGGCUUCUAGUCAGUUAUCGGUUAGAGCGGGACGAGUGAUUGUUUGAAUAAAGACGUGACUGUGAGGCAGGAUUGGCGAGAGAGAGCUGCAGAAGAUCAGAAGUGGACGGGUAUUUGCGUUUGUGCGGCGGCGCAAUGCUUAAACUGCUGGCGGUAAGCACUCUGCUUCGGAGGGUAAGAGAAAGCCCCGAGUCACGUCGGCGUCGUCUUAAUCCCAACACUGAAGAAGAAACAGCGACUGAGACGGAGACAGAGUCAGAAUCGGCGACCGACUCGGAGCCGGAAUCAGAGACCGCGCCUACUGAAGCGCAACGUGGAGGGUCAGCGAUGGUGGGGAACGAUCAGUCAGAUUCACAGCUGGACGCCGGUCUCAGGUCAACCUCAAAGGCCUGCGCUGCUGAGGAAUCCCCUUUACCACCAGCUCAAGAGUCAGUGGCUCCCACUCGGCGACCGAAGACCGCCCGAGUUCGUCGGACCCCGCCGGGGGCAGACGGGGUGGGUGGGGCGCCGGCAGACGGGGUCAGUCGCACACCGGCGCACCGGCAGCCCCCGGCCCGUCCUGGCAGCUGGUGGCCGCAGCUCUCCGCCGGACGUCUGAUCGGCCUGGCCAUGGCGGCCGUGCUGCUGGCCACGGUGACGGUGCACUCCUUCAACCAGCUGCGACAGGACCAGCUGCUGCACCGACCGCGUCUCACCUACGGCCAGUGGCUGGCGCGGCGGGAGGCCAACGCCACCGAGCCAGCCGUGCUGCUCGGCACCAGGCGGCUGCGCUUCAACACCACAGCACCCGUGCACGUGCGCUGGCCUGACCACGACACGUGCCGCCACCACGUCGUGAGAUUUGCUCGCGCUGGCCAGCUACCGCCCGCGGCGCUGGUCAGUCUCCCCGGCAGUGGCGCCACCUAUUUCAGAUAUGUGAUAGAGGGCGCCACAGGCAUCUUCACGGCCGGUGCUACUGUCGACACUGGCCUGCAUAACCGGGGCUUCUACGGUCAGCUAGUGCGUGACCUGGAUGGAAGUACGGUUCUUCAGGAGAGCGGACGAGGGCCGCACUUGAGCGGGGUCGGUCCGGAGAAUGGCCGUCCUCCUGGAAUGCCUCCAUCCAUGGCGAUCAUAGGAGGACAACAGGGAGGACAGUCUGGAGGAAAGCGUCGAGGAAAGGCAGCGGACGACAGAGGAACGAAAGGAAAGACAAUACUGCUGGUGCAGGACCCACACCAUGUCCUCCUGGAGGGUCGCGGUGCCGACGGCGAGAGCGAGUCCGUCGCCGACUUCAGCAGCAACAAGUGGCUGCAGUUCGUCACGCUCAGGAUGAAGCAGUGGAACUUCCAGACGCAGCUGGCAGUCGAUCUGGCUGAGGAUCUGCUGGUGGUCUAUCUAGAGGAACUGCGGGCGGAGCCGCUGGUCCAGCUGGAGAGGGUGAUGCAGUUCCUGCGGCUGACGGUACCACCCGAGAGGCUGGCCUGCGUGCGACACGUCCAGCCGCCGCCGCAGCCCGAGGUCGACCCGCGCGCCUUCCGCGACCCGGCCGUGCGGCGUACCAUUUCUGAGAACGUCCGUCAGGUGGCGGAAAUGCUGCGCCAGCGCGGCUACACGAGGUCGUUGGAAGCUUACGAGAGGCAUCCUACGGCGGCCGGUGGACGGACCGAGCUCUGAGCUAGGAGUUACCGGAGAGACCCUUGGCAGAUGAGCCAUGCACACGAGGGCGCUGGAGGGGUACGAGAUUAAAUUAAUGUGUACGGCUAGUGGCCGCAGACCGAUCGUGAAGCCAGGGGAACUCCACGUGCUGCGGUGCUGCAUGGUACACGAGGUCCCUGGGCCCAAUCUCAUAGUGUCGUACCUUCCGUAACAUGUAUCAUUAUGCCCGUGUUGGCACUUGGCAAUAUCCGAGUAGACGAAAGUGAAACGAUUCAUCGAAAGGCCACUGCACGAUGGACUGAAAUGCGUGCGAAAAAAGUUUUACAUUUGAUUGCCGCCUUCUGCAGCUGAACUUCGACUUGAACUGUCAAAUCCUUUCUAAGGCAUUCAUACAAACUGGGCCCUGGAAGGUUCCGAUUGUCAUUAGACGGCGGCCGGUGAACAAAUGAUCAAAAUCUUCUAGUCUUUUCCAACUACUUACAUAUGGGCGUCUUUUAUCUAUGUAAACAUCAUGCCGAUGUCGUCGUCUGCAACCUAUGGGUGACUUGACAACCGGUUUGGACCUACUCAUGUAGCAAUAAGUGAAGUGCAAGGGACAAAACCAUGAAUCAUGUGAGUAUGAUGUGUGUGGAAAGAUGUGCACUUGCCAACCAUCUAUGUUGUUGUAUAAAUUAUAUAAAAAAAUAGAAAAACUAGUUGAUGCAUUGUAAAACAAAUAUGUGUGCUUAGUAACUAUAACAGUUAUAUAAACUGUUAUAAACAGGCUAUGAACAGUUUAAAGACUGAAUCGCGGGGAAAGUUGCACGCCUGCAAAGAAGCGUCGCACUGUGAACGUCUAAACGGUUUAUGUAAACGUGGCGUGCAGUGUGCACCAUGCGCUUGUGUGAAUAUGAAUUUUUUUAAUAUAUCCAAUUUUGUGCAUUAUUUGAACAUUAAUAUGAGCAAAGGCUACAAUUUCUCGUAUUACAUAGUAUAUAUAACGAUGCUCAUCACAGCCAUCCAUUUCAUUUGUAUUGCAUUUCUGAAUAAAUGUUAUCAAACGUCCAAUACCAAUAUG
rnacentral:misc_RNA from 1 species